rnacentral:rRNA from 1 species
GAUGAACGCUGGCGGCGUGCCUAAUACAUGCAAGUCGAGCGAACAGAUGAGGAGCUUGCUCCUCUGACGUUAGCGGCGGACGGGUGAGUAACACGUGGAUAACCUACCUAUAAGACUGGGAUAACUUCGGGAAACCGGAGCUAAUACCGGAUAAUAUAUUGAACCGCAUGGUUCAAUAGUUAAAGACGGUUUUGCUGUCACUUAUAGAUGGAUCCGCGCCGCAUUAGCUAGUUGGUAAGGUAACGGCUUACCAAGGCAACGAUGCGUAGCCGACCUGAGAGGGUGAUGGGCCACACUGGAACUGAGACACGGUCCAGACUCCUACGGGAGGCAGCAGUAGGGAAUCUUCCGCAAUGGGCGAAAGCCUGACGGAGCAACGCCGCGUGAGUGAUGAAGGUCUUCGGAUCGUAAAACUCUGUUAUUAGGGAAGAACAAAUGUGUAAGUAACUAUGCACGUCUUGACGGUACCUAAUCAGAAAGCCACGGCUAACUACGUG